GAAACAGGAGGGAGAGAUGCUGGAUGGGGCAGGUGGAUGGAGUCCGAGUGGCAACCAGCUCUCCUCCCACCCUGCCUCCU
ensembl:miRNA bta-mir-12059 bta-mir-12059